UACGUAGGGGGCAAGCGUUGUCCGGAAUCAUUGGGCGUAAAGCGCGUGUAGGCGGCCCGGUAAGUCCGCUGUGAAAGUCGGGGGCUCAACCCUCGAAUGCCGGUGGAUACUGUCGGGCUAGAGUGCGGAAGAGGCGAGUGGAAUUCCUGGUGUAGCGGUGAAAUGCGCAGAUAUCAGGAGGAACACCAAUUGCGAAGGCAGCUCGCUGGGACGUUACUGACGCUGAGACGCGAAAGCGUGGGGAGCGAACAGG
rnacentral:rRNA from 1 species